rnacentral:rRNA from 1 species
GAUGAACGCUGGCGGCGUGCCUAAUACAUGCAAGUCGAGCGAACAGACGAGGAGCUUGCUCCUCUGACGUUAGCGGCGGACGGGUGAGUAACACGUGGAUAACCUACCUAUAAGACUGGGAUAACUUCGGGAAACCGGAGCUAAUACCGGAUAAUAUAUUGAACCGCAUGGUUCAAUAGUGAAAGACGGUUUUGCUGUCACUUAUAGAUGGAUCCGCGCCGCAUUAGCUAGUUGGUAAGGUAACGGCUUACCAAGGCAACGAUGCGUAGCCGACCUGAGAGGGGGAUCGGCCACACUGGAACUGAGACACGGUCCAGACGCCUACGGGAGGCAGCAGUAGGGAAUCUUCCGCAGUGGGCGAAAGCCUGACGGAGCAACGCCGCGUGAGUGAUGAAGGCCUUCGGAUCGUAAAACUCUGUUAUUAGGGAAGAACAAAUGUGUAAGUAACUAUGCACGUCUUGACGGUACCUAAUCAGAAAGCCACGGCUAACUACGUG